rnacentral:rRNA from 1 species
UAUGUGAUCGUUUCUCGCAUAUCAAUAAGCGGAGGAAAAGAAACUAACAAGGAUUCCCCUAGUAACGGCGAGUGAAGCGGGAAGAGCUCAAAUUUGAAAUCUUAAAGGGUUUCCCUUUACGAAUUGUAGUUUAAAGAAGUGUUUUCUGUUGAGGUUUUGGUAAAAGUUCUUUGGAAUAGGACAUCAUAGAGGGUGAGAAUCCCGUAUUUGACCUUUACUUUCAACUUUGUGAUACACUUUCAAAGAGUCGGAUUGUUUGGGAAUGCAGUCCAAAAUGGGUGGUAAAUUUCAUCUAAAGCUAAAUAUUGGCGAGAGACCGAUAGCGAACAAGUACCGUGAGGGAAAGAUGAAAAGAACUUUGAAAAGAGAGUUAAACAGUACGUGAAAUUGUCAAAAGGGAAGCGUUUGACACCAGUGUUGUUUUUCUGAAAAUCAAUUAAAGAACUGUUUAUGCUAAGCUGUUUAGACUUUAUCAGCUAACUGUUUAGUUUUGAGCUUUUCUUUAAUGCACUUUUCAGUUAACAAGUCAACAUCAAUUUCUUUUGCUGUAAAAAAGCUUGAGGAAGGUGGCUUGAGAUUCGUCUUAAGUGUUUAUAGCCUCUUGCCUAUGCAGUCGGAGAGAUUGAGGUCUGCAGCGUAGAUCCUUCGGGGCUAAAUGCAUUUGUGCUAAGUUAUAGCAUUUUAUAGACAACUUGUUGACUAUGAUUUGUCUUGUAGCUUACUCGCUUAUGUUAUUUUACCUACGCUUAGGAUGUUGAUAUGCAUGACUGAUAU